rnacentral:rRNA from 1 species
AGCGAACGCUGGCGGCAGGCCUAACACAUGCAAGUCGAACGAACCCUUCGGGGUUAGUGGCGGACGGGUGAGUAACACGUGGGAACGUGCCUUUAGGUUCGGAAUAACUCAGGGAAACUUGUGCUAAUACCGAAUGUGCCCUUCGGGGGAAAGAUUUAUCGCCUUUAGAGCGGCCCGCGUCUGAUUAGCUAGUUGGUGAGGUAAUGGCUCACCAAGGCUACGAUCAGUAGCUGGUCUGAGAGGAUGAUCAGCCACAUUGGGACUCGAGACACGGCCCAAACUCCUACGGGAGGCAGCAGUGGGGAAUCUUGCGCAAUGGGCGAAAGCCUGACGCAGCCAUGCCGCGUGGAUGAUGAAGGUCUUAGGAUUGUAAAAUCCUUUCACCGGUGAAGAUAAUGACUGUAGCCGGAGAAGAAGCCCCGGCUAACUUCGUGCCAGCCGCCGCCGUAAUAC